ACGAACGCUGGCGGCAUGCCUAACACAUGCAAGUCGAACGAGACCUUCGGGUCUAGUGGCGCACGGGUGCGUAACGCGUGGGAACCUGCCCUUAGGUUCGGAAUAACUCCCCGAAAGGGGUGCUAAUACCGGAUAAUGUCUUCGGACCAAAGAUUUAUCGCCUUUGGAUGGGCCCGCGUUGGAUUAGCUAGUUGGUAGGGUAAAAGCCUACCAAGGCGACGAUCCAUAGCUGGUCUGAGAGGAUGAACAGCCACACUGGGACUGAGACACGGCCCAGACUCCUACGGGAGGCAGCAGUGGGGAAUAUUGGACAAUGGGCGAAAGCCUGAUCCAGCAAUGCCGCGUGAGUGAUGAAGGCCUUAGGGUUGUAAAGCUCUUUUACCCGGGAUGAUAAUGACAGUACCGGGAGAAUAAGCUCCGGCUAACUCCGUG
rnacentral:rRNA from 1 species